rnacentral:rRNA from 1 species
CCUACGGGAGGCAGCAGUGAGGAAUAUUGGUCAAUGGGCGGAAGCCUGAACCAGCCAUCCCGCGUGCAGGAAGAAGGCGCUAAGCGUUGUAAACUGCUUUUGCAGGGGAAGAAACUUCCGGUUGCGACCGGGACUGACGGUACCCUGUGAAUAAGCAUCGGCUAACUCCGUGCCAGCAGCCGCGGUAAUACGGAGGAUGCGAGCGUUAUCCGGAUUCACUGGGUUUAAAGGGUGCGUAGGCGGGCUGAUAAGUCAGUGGUGAAAUUUUACAGCUUAACUGUAAACGUGCCAUUGAUACUGUCAGUCUUGAGUGUGGUCAAGGUAGGCGGAAUGUGUAAUGUAGCGGUGAAAUGCUUAGAUAUUACACAGAACACCGAUUGCGAAGGCAGCUUACUGGGCCACCACUGACGCUGAGGCACGAAAGCGUGGGGAGCAAACAGGAUUAGAUACCCUGGUAGUCCACGCUGUAAACGAUGAUCACUCGCUGUUGGCGAUAUACUGUCAGUGGCUAAGCGAAAGCAUUAAGUGAUCCACCUGGGGAGUACGGCGGCAACGUUGAAACUCAAAUGAAUUGACGG